AGAGUUUGAUCCUGGCUCAGAACGAACGCUGGCGGCAUGCCUAACACAUGCAAGUCGAACGAGACCUUCGGGUCUAGUGGCGCACGGGUGCGUAACGCGUGGGAAUCUGCCCUUGGGUCCGGAAUAACAGUUAGAAAUGACUGCUAAUACCGGAUGAUGACUUCGGUCCAAAGAUUUAUCGCCCAGGGAUGAGCCCGCGUCGGAUUAGCUAGUUGGUGGGGUAAAAGCUCACCAAGGCGACGAUCCGUAGCUGGUCUGAGAGGAUGAUCAGCCACACUGGGACUGAGACACGGCCCAGACUCCUACGGGAGGCAGCAGUGGGGAAUAUUGGACAAUGGGCGAAAGCCUGAUCCAGCAAUGCCGCGUGAGUGAUGAAGGCCUUAGGGUUGUAAAGCUCUUUUACCCGGGAUGAUAAUGACAGUACCGGGAGAAUAAGCCCCGGCUAACUCCGUGCCAGCAGCCGCGGUAAUACGGAGGGGGCUAGCGUUGUUCGGAAUUACUGGGCGUAAAGCGCACGUAGGCGGCUUUGUAAGUUAGAGGUGAAAGCCCGGGGCUCAACUCCGGAAUUGCCUUUAAGACUGCAUCGCUAGAAUUGUGGAGAGGAUGGUGGAAUUCCCGGUGUAGCGGUGAAAUGCGUAGAGAUCGGGAGGAACACCCGUGGCGAAGGCGGCCAUCUGGACCAGCACUGACGCUGAGGCACGAAAGCGUGGGGAGCAAACAGGAUUAGAUACCCCGGUAGUCC
rnacentral:rRNA from 1 species